rnacentral:rRNA from 1 species
UACGAAGGGUGCAAGCGUUACUCGGAAUUACUGGGCGUAAAGCGUGCGUAGGUGGUUCGUUAAGUCUGAUGUGAAAGCCCUGGGCUCAACCUGGGAAUUGCAUUGGAUACUGGCGGGCUAGAGUACGGUAGAGGGUGGCGGAAUUCCUGGUGUAGCAGUGAAAUGCGUAGAUAUCAGGAGGAACAUCCGUGGCGAAGGCGGCCACCUGGACCAGUACUGACACUGAGGCACGAAAGCGUGGGGAGCAAACAGGAUUAGAUACCCU